AGGAAGUUGAAGGGGUGUGAAAACAAGAAUUUUGAGGAAAUGAGCAACCCUUAGUGUUUAAUGAUCUAAGAACAUCAACUGCUCACUAGCAUGCCUGCAAAUGUGUGUCUUGCUGUUUUACAAUGGGGAGCCUGUUGUAUCAUUCAAUGUGGAAAGGUGAUCGAUUUUUACUUAUCAGAGAACAGAGAAGUAAAAGAGAAAAAUUGUAUUAUUUUUAUCAUAUGAGCUAGUUUCAUUGCUUUAGCUAUGCUUGCCUGCCCAUUUAUAUAGCUUGUUGCCGUGUUGUAAAUCUUUAGAAGUUUUCUCCUUUUCGUUUAUUUAAUAUUUUGUCUUCUCCAGCUUUAUUUUGUAAUUUUGUAAAUUUCCCAAUUUAUAAGAUGAUAUUCUUUCGUGACUAAAAUAGUUUAGAGAACAGAGAAGUAAAAGGGACAAAUUGUAUUAUUUUUAUCAUAUGAGCUAGUUUCAUUGCUUUAGCUAUGCUUGCCUGCCCAUUUAUAUAGCUUGUUGCC
rnacentral:lncRNA from 1 species